AUUGAACGCUGGCGGCAGGCCUAACACAUGCAAGUCGAGCGGAUGACGGGAGCUUGCUCCUUGAUUCAGCGGCGGACGGGUGAGUAAUGCCUAGGAAUCUGCCUGGUAGUGGGGGACAACGUUCCGAAAGGGGCGCUAAUACCGCAUACGUCCUACGGGAGAAAGUGGGGGAGCUUCGGACCUCACGCUACCAGAUGAGCCUAGGUCGGAUUAGCUAGUUGGUGAGGUAAAGGCUCACCAAGGCGACGAUCCGUAACUGGUCUGAGAGGAUGAGCAGUCACACUGGAACGGGGACACGGUCCAGACUCCUACGGGAGGCAGCAGUGGGGAAUAUUGGACAAUGGGCGAAAGCCUGAUCCAGCCAUGCCGCGUGUGUGAAGAAGGUCUUCGGAUUGUAAAGCACUUUAAGUUGGGAGGAAGGGCAGUAAGUUAAUACCUUGCUGUUUUGACGUUACCGACAGAAUAAGCACCGGCUAACUCUGUGCCAGCAGCCGCCGUAAAAC
rnacentral:rRNA from 1 species